rnacentral:rRNA from 1 species
GACGAACGCUGGCGGCAUGCCUAACACAUGCAAGUCGAACGAGACCUUCGGGUCUAGGGGCGCACGGGUGCGUAACACGUGGGAACCUGCCCUUAGGUUCGGAAUAACUCCCCGAAGGGGAUGCUAAUACCGGAUAAUGUCUUCGGACCAAAGAUUUAUCGCCUUGGGAUGGGCCCGAGUUGGAUUAGCUGGUUGGUAGGGUAAAAGCCUACCAAGGCGACGAUCCAGAGCUGGUCUGAGAGGAUGAUCAGCCAGACUGGGACUGAGACCCGGCCCAGACUCCUACGGGAGGCAGCAGAGGGGAAUAUAGGACAGGGGGCGAAAGCCUGCUCCAGCAAGGCCGCGAGAGUGAUGAAGGGCUUAGGGUUGUAAAGCUCUUUUACCCGGGAUGAUAAGGACAGUACCGGUAGAAUAAGCCCCGGUUAAUUCCGU